AUACUUACCUGGCAGGGGAGACACCAUGAUCAUGAAGGUGGUUUUCCCAGGGUGAGGCUCAUCCAUUGCACUCCGGGUGUGCUGACCCCUGCGAUUUCCCCAAAUGUGGGAAAUUCGACUGCAUAAUUUGUGGUAGUGGGGGACUGCAUUUGCGCUUUCCCCUG
rnacentral:snRNA from 1 species